rnacentral:lncRNA from 1 species
CCAACCCUCGGGUCGAGGGAAGGCGGCGGCCGCCUCACGCGGGUAAAAAACCGGUUACCGUGUUUUCUUCGCAGCGCCACUCCACCACCAGGAUUUCCUCUCCCUUCUCGCCGCCAUAACAACGCUACUACCACUAUCAUUACCGCUACCGCUACCACUACCGCGAAAUGCAAGACCAACAGCAUGACACUCGAGGACACCUGAGGGAGGGUGCGCUCCCAUUAUCACCGCCAAACAUGACCAUCACAACAUUACCACCAUCACCAUCAUCAGGAUUAUCAAUUAAACCGGCACGACCGGUGCCAUCGUUACCAGUUGCAUCAUCGACUAACACUCAUCGUCGCCACCAUCGGCAUAUCCCUUGCGCGCGGAUACGUCAUAAAAUACACGAUGUGCUCGCCGGGCGACGUGUUCAUGGGGACCCCAACAAAACAUAAAAAAACAAAACAAAGCCAUAUACACCCACCUCUAAAAAACACGUACCGGAAUGCUGUACAUCAGUACGACGUCGUGUCAGCAGCAUGCAGCUGCCAUACCCAACAUGCUUGCCCGUACUCCUAAAAGCGGGUCAUGGGACCCUUGCGGGUAGCGGCGCUCUAAAGUACCGCGUACGGUAGUACGACGAACGCUCCUAUAUGUACGGACAUACACACACCUAGCAUAAGAGAUUCGCGGCCCGGCUAGACAGGAUACGACAGCCACAUGCUCUCUCGUUCUCACUCUCGCCACCCGGGCCUAGCCCCUACAGUACCAAUAUGCCCCGGGAGGGAGGCCGUGUUGUCGGCGUAGCACGUUUUUUUGUGCAACCUGUACAGUCCGCAACACGGCUGCAGCUCACUCCCACCCACUCCCCCUCCCUCCCCCACAACCGCCGCACCUUGCAUGACCACCCCCGCCCACCCCCACUCCGCAACACAGCGUCCUCUCCACAACCACAUUCCAGCCUUUGCAGCCGCCCUCACCGCCCUCACCCACGCUCCCAGUCAGUCAACUUGUCCGUCUAUGUGUCUGUGUCUAUGUUUGUCUGCCUACUUUUACGUUCGUGUACCUGUUCGUCUGUUUACCUGUAUGUAUGUCCACAUCCCUGCCAGCUACAUCCAUACAGGCGGUCUCAUCUCGCAGCACUCCGUCAGUGGAGAGGUCGGGACGGGGACGGGGAGGAAACAGGGGGAGGGAAAACCCUACCUCCCGUCACACCACCAGCAGCAGCAGCAUUACCAUCAUCAUCUCCAUGACGAACUGAGGCGGGCACAACCGCGCGUGUCCCUCCCUCUCCCCCACCCUCUCUCAUUCCAGGACGUGUCCAAUGUUAGAUUCGGACCUUCUCUCUGGCCAGGAUGACCAGGUCUCCAUCGUUGAGCAC